rnacentral:lncRNA from 1 species
GGCAUUCCUCGAGGAGGAAUGCGAAUUCGGAUAUUGAAGUCAUUCUCCCUGUCGAUGGCGCAGGAAGGCUCAUCAGGAUUGUGGCUCAGCAAGGACGUGAGGUGGCCCUGGGGCAAUAGAGUGGAGGUUUCAGCGAGCAACGCCAGGGAGGCCCAUUCGUAGACCCUGGCGUUGUCAUGGAAGGAGGUAGCAACAGGCGGUGGUGAAGCUGGCGCACUCGCGGAAGGCUGUGCACCAGAGGACGAGGCAACUAAACGCGCAGUUUGUUUCAAGCGAGCC